rnacentral:rRNA from 1 species
GACGAACCGUGCGAACGUUGUUCGGAUUCACUGGGCUUAAAGGGCGCGUAGGCGGUCGACCAAGUCUGGGGUGAAAUCUUUCGGCUUAACCGGAAAAGUGCCCCCGAUACUGGCCGGCUAGAGGGAGAUAGGGGCAUGUGGAACUUCCGGUGGAGCGGUGAAAUUCGUAGAUAUCGGGAGGAACACCAGUGGCGAAGGCGGCGACCUGGACAGAUAUUGACGCUGAGGUGCGAAAGCGUGGGGAGCAAGCAGG